GAAAUGCGAUAAGUAGUGUGAAUUGCAGAAUUCAGUGAAUCAUUGAAUCUUUGAACGCACAUUGCGCCCCUCGGCAUUCCGUGGGGCAUGCCUGUUCGAGCGUCAUCUACACCCUCAAGCUCUGCUUGGUGUUGGGCGUCUGUCCCGCCUCCGCGCGCGGACUCGCCCCAAAUGCAUUGGCAGCGGUUCCUUGCCCCCCUCUUUGCGCAGCACAUUGCCAUUCGAGGCGGCGGCGGCCCGCGUCCAACAAGCUCAACCCCCCCGUCUUUGACCUCGGAUCAGGUAGGGAUACCCGCUGAACUUAAGC
rnacentral:misc_RNA from 1 species